rnacentral:ribozyme from 14 species
CACAUAUAUACAAUGAAAAAGUAACAAAGAAAGGAAAAAAAAAGGCAAGAAAUCCUUUUUGUUUUGUUUCGUGUUUUUUACAAUGCUU